rnacentral:rRNA from 1 species
UGGGGGAUAUUGCACAAUGGGCGAAAGCCUGAUGCAGCGACGCCGCGUGGGGGAUGAAGGCUUUCGGGUUGUAAACCUCUUUCGCUAUCGAACAAGGCCCGCUUAGGGUGGGUUGAGGGUAGGUGGAGAAGAAGCGCCGGCUAACUACGUGCCAGCAGCCGCGGUAAUACGUAGGGCGCGAGCGUUGUCCGGAAUUAUUGGGCGUAAAGGGCUUGUAGGCGGCUUGUUGCGCCUGCUGUGAAAACGCGGGGCUUAACUUCGGGCGUGCAGUGGGUACGGGCAGGCUUGAGUGUGGUAGGGGUGACUGGAAUUCCAGGUGUAGCGGUGGAAUGCGCAGAUAUCUGGAGGAACAACGAUGGCGAAGGCAGGUCACUGGGCCAUUACUGACGCUGAGGAGCGAAAGCAUGGGUAGCGAACAGG